UUUGUUUGUUUGUUUGUUUUUAUGUAGUGCUGAGGUUGGAACCCAGGGCCUCACAUGUGCUAGGCAAAUGCCUACCACUGAGCUACAACUACAGCCCCGACUUUAUGCCUUUUAAUGGUCAGGGGCCAGCUCCACCUUAAGUUUGAAGGUAAGCUGGAGAUGUCGGAGAGGAAGUUUCUGGGAAAUCUUCAACCAAUAUAGGAGUCCCAUGUGUUAUGAAGGGAAUUAUGCUCCUAUGCAAAUAGAUACAGCUAAACACUCA
rnacentral:lncRNA from 1 species